rnacentral:lncRNA from 1 species
CCACACCUUCUGAGUGAGGUCCCACGACCACAGAUAGAAAGUUCAAAAAUUUUCAAACUGGAAUGGGCCCUAAGAAGGUCAAGACCAUUCGUGGAGAUGAGGAUCGGACAGUGAUUCAAGGUGAUCCUCGAUAGGUGCUGAACAUGGUACCCUUGAAAAUGAUGGGUCUACUCUGAAGAAGCAAGCGCCCAAUUGAUCCUCUUCCAAACCUAAGCCACCUCUUGAUAAUUAUUACACCAGGUGAAUUGAGGACCCGCAUAGCCUAGAUCGAUCAAACCAGCCUCACUGAUGAAGCCUCUAAACUCUCUAGACUCAAUGCCAUCCCCUGCCUGCUUGCCACCUCUUUUAACAUGAGGGCCCACAAUGCAGUUGAGUCACCGACAACGA